rnacentral:ncRNA from 1 species
UAGGAAAUAGCUGGUUUUCUGCGAAACCUAUAAAAGUAGGUAAUUUAAGUAACAUCAUAGCAGGUACAGAACUGUGUUCUCAGGCAACUUAGAAAUAUUUUGCAUAUAUCGGGCAAUCGUGAAGAUUUUAUCGGUGAGUAAUCGCACUCGGAAUGGUUAUGAUGAAUAUUAAAUAAUCGGACAUAGUACGCUAAGGUUGUAUUGUCUAAAGGGAAACAGCCCAGAACAAGAGUUUAAGGUUCCAAAUUUAUUGUUAAGUGAAAUUAAGGAUGUUUCUGUAAAAAACGGCCAGGAAAUUGGCUUAGAAGCGGCCAUUUUUUUGAAGAUCUCGUAAAAGAGCACUGGUUUAGUAUAUUUUAUACGUGAAUAGUAGCACCGAAGAUUUAACGGAUCUAAACAAUAUACCGACACCUUGUCCAUAAAAAGGAUGAGCUUGUAGACAGCUCGUAUUUUUAUGGGGUAGCAGAACGUUAGGGUAAAUAACACGGUUUAUUGUUUUUAACAAUAAAUAUAAGAUAACCCAAGUGAUAAUGCUGACAUGAGUAACGAAAAAGGGGUUAUACCCUCGCCUAAAAGCUUAUGGUAUUUUUAAAAUAAGUAACGGCCUCUAAGUUUACCCAACCUAAAGGAUUAAACGAUGAGAAAAUCUUUUAGUUACUUAGUAACAACCUUCCUUCUUAUGUAACCAAGUCACCUUGCGGAGGGGUUUGCUUGGAAAUAUUAUUGCCAAGUACCGGCGGAAGGCGGGCAUAAGAAAAGUUGAGGGAGGUUCUGGAAAAACAGUGACAAACCUGCUUCCGGUAGUACGGAAGGAAAGGGGGAAAACAAAACCGUACCUAAAUACCACCUCAGGUAAGCUAGUAGAGAAUACGAAGGCGUUUGAGUGAACAAUCAUUAAGGAACUCGGCAAACUAACUACCGUAACUUCGGAAUAAGGAGUGCCAUUCCUCUUCAUUAAUAUGAGGUAAAGAAUAGGAAGCAUGGAAUAGUGUUGUACGACUGUUUAAUUAAAACAAAGC